ACGAGAUCCUUAGCGAAGCUUGCUUUGCUAAGUCUAGUGGCGAACGGGUGAGUAACACGUGAGCAACCUGCCCAGAAGCAGGGGAUAAGCCACCGAAAGGUGGUCUAAUACCGUAUGUGAUUCCAAGGGGCAUCUCUUGGACAUUAAAGGGGGGGAUCUUCGGACCUCUCACUUCUGGAUGGGCUCGCGGCCUAUCAGCUUGUUGGUGAGGUAACGGCUCACCAAGGCAACGACGGGUAACUGGUCUGAGAGGAUGAUCAGUCACACUGGAACUGAGACACGGUCCAGACACCUACGGGUGGCAGCAGUCGAGAAUCAUUCACAAUGGGCGAAAGCCUGAUGGUGCGACGCCGCGUGGAGGAUGACAGCCCUAGGGUUGUAAACUCCUGUCAUGAGAGAGUAAAGACUUAACGUUAAUACCGUUGGGUCCUGAUAGUAUCUCAAGAGGAAGGGACGGCUAACU
rnacentral:rRNA from 1 species